rnacentral:tRNA from 1 species
GCAGUGGUGGUUCAAUGGUAGAAUCUCGUCUUCCAUGAGGGAGACCCAGGUUCAAUUCCUGGCCAGUGUA